rnacentral:rRNA from 1 species
UAGACACUGACAGGAUCCUGUUAGUAUGGCGAAUGAACAGGGCCAGGCUCAGUGUGGUAAUUUGGGCCUGGAGCCUUGAAUUGUAGUAUACAGCUGUGCUGCCAUUGGGGGUGCAGAUGCAGGCCUCUUGGAACAGAGCAUCUAUGCUGGUGAUAGUCCCAUUUGUCAUCUGCAGUCCUUCAUUCACGGCGCAUUUCUUGUGAGUCACAUUCCUUGGGAUUGGAACGCAAAGUGGGUGGUAAAUUUCAUCUGAAGCAAAGCAUGAGGAUGAGACCGAUAGUAAACAAGUACCGUAAGGGAAAAGUCAAAAGUACUUUGAAAAGAAAGCUAAAAGUGCCUGAAACUGCUGAAAGGGAAGCGAAUGAGACCAGCUGUCUUGGCGUGAUUAUUGUGAAUAGACCUGAGCGCGGGCACCAGCAUCGCAAGUGCAGAUGCGCGCUGUUGAGGUGUCUGUACAUCAUAGCUUGCGCCUUGCAUGUCAAAGCCAUUGCGCAGC